rnacentral:lncRNA from 1 species
AAUAAUAGUGGUAAUAGACUAAAUUAUUUUAAAAAAUGGUUAAGGCAUUUUUUGGAAUUUAAUACGACACUUCAUUUAUAAUUAUAUAAAGAAGAAACAAAUGAAAAUUUUGGGUAACUCAGUAUCUAACUCAAUUCAAUCAAUAAAUUUGUAGUUUGAUCCAAACCAACUCAAUCAUGUCGUGAGUGAUUAUUUUAUCUCACUCAAAUCAGUGUACCAUAUAUGAGUUAGAUCUUAGUUUUGUUUAAAUCCAACACAAACUGAC